rnacentral:rRNA from 1 species
UACGUAGGGUGCGAGCGUUAAUCGGAAUUACUGGGCGUAAAGCGUGCGCAGGCGGCUUUGCAAGACAGAUGUGAAAUCCCCGGGCUCAACCUGGGAACUGCAUUUGUGACUGCAAGGCUAGAGUACGGCAGAGGGGGAUGGAAUUCCGCGUGUAGCAGUGAAAUGCGUAGAUAUGCGGAGGAACACCAAUGGCGAAGGCAAUCCCCUGGGCCUGUACUGACGCUCGUGCACGAAAGCGUGGGGAGCAAACAGG